rnacentral:rRNA from 1 species
GAUCCUGGCUCAGGAUGAACGCUGACAGAAUGCUUAACACAUGCAAGUCUACUUGAACUUCGGUUUGGGUGGCGGACGGGUGAGUAACGCGUAAAGAACUUGCCUUACAGUUAGGGACAACAUUUGGAAACGAAUGCUAAUACCUGAUAUUAUGAUUUUAGGGCAUCCUAAGAUUAUGAAAGCUAUAUGUGCUGUGAGAGAGCUUUGCGUCCCAUUAGCUAGUUGGAGAGGUAACGG